rnacentral:rRNA from 1 species
AUUGAACGCUGGCGGCAUGCCUUACACAUGCAAGUCGAACGGCAGCACGGGAGCAAUCCUGGUGGCGAGUGGCGAACGGGUGAGUAAAGUAUCGGAACGUGCCCAGUCGUGGGGGAUAACGUAGCGAAAGUUACGCUAAUACCGCAUACGAUCUAUGGAUGAAAGCGGGGGAUCGCAAGACCUCGCGCGAUUGGAGCGGCCGAUAUCAGAUUAGGUAGUUGGUGGGGUAAAGCUCACCAAGCCGACGAUCUGUAGCUGGUCUGAGAGGACGACCAGGCACACUGGGGAUGAGACACGGCCCAGACUCCUACGGGAGGCAGCAGUGGGGAAUUUUGGACAAGGGGCGAAAGCCUGAUCCAGCCAUGCCGCGUGCAGGAUGAAGGCCUUCGGGUUGUAAACUGCUUUUGUACGGAACGAAAAGAUUUGGCCUAAUAAGCUGAGCUCAUGACGGUACCGUAAGAAUAAGCACCGGCUAACUACGUGCCAGCAGCCGCAGUAA